rnacentral:rRNA from 1 species
UACAGAGGUGGCAAGCGUUGUUCGGAAUUACUGGGCGUAAAGGGCGAGUAGGUGGCCAUCUAAGUCAGACGUGAAAUCCCCCGGCUUAACCUGGGAACUGCGUCUGAUACUGGACGGCUUGAGUAUGGGAGAGGAACGUAGAAUUCCAGGUGUAGCGGUGAAAUGCGUAGAUAUCUGGAGGAAUACCGGUGGCGAAGGCGGCGUUCUGGGCCAUUACUGACACUGAAUCGCGAAAGCUAGGGGAGCAAACGGG